rnacentral:rRNA from 1 species
AGCAGCCGCGGUAAUUCCAGCUCCAAUAGCGUAUAUUAAAGUUGUUGCAGUUAAAAAGCUCGUAGUUGAAUUUCGGGGUCAGCAGGUUGGUCGUGCCAAUGGUAUGCACUGGCCUUGCUGAUUCCUCCCUCUUGAUGAGCCGUAAUGUCAUUAAUUUGGUGUUGCGGGGAAUCAGGACUGUUACUUUGAAAAAAUUAGAGUGUUUAAAGCAGGCAAGCGCUUGAAUACAUUAGCAUGGAAUAAUGAAAUAGGACGUUUGAUCCUAUUUUGUUGGUUUCUAGGAUUGACGUAAUGAUUAAUAGGGAUAGUUGGGGGCAUUAGUAUUCAAUUGUCAGAGGUGAAAUUCUUGGAUUUAUUGAAGACUAACUACUGCGAAAGCAUUUGCCAAGGAUGUUUUCAUUAAUCAAGAACGAAAGUUAGGGGAUCGAAGACGAUCAGAUACCGUCGUAGUCUUAACCAUAAACUAUGCCGACUAGGGAUCGGAUGAUGUUAAUUUUUAAUGUACUCUA